rnacentral:rRNA from 1 species
AUUGAACGCUGGCGGCAUGCCUUACACAUGCAAGUCGAACGGUAACAGGUCUUCGGAUGCUGACGAGUGGCGAACGGGUGAGUAAUACAUCGGAACGUGCCUAGUAGUGGGGGAUAACUACUCGAAAGAGUGGCUAAUACCGCAUGAGAUCUACGGAUGAAAGCAGGGGAUCGCAAGACCUUGUGCUACUAGAGCGGCCGAUGGCAGAGAGUUAGGUAGUUGGUGGGAUAAAAGCUUACCAAGCCGACGAUCUGUAGCUGGUCUGAGAGGACGAUCAACCACACUGGGAAUGAGACACGGCCCAGACUCCUCCGGGAAGCAGCAGUGGGGAAUUUUGGACGAUGGACGCAAGCCUGAUCCAGCAAUGCCGCGUGCAGGAUGAAGGCCUUCGGGUUGUAAACUGCUUUUGUACGGAACGAAAAGCCCUGGGUUAAUACCCUGGGGUCAUGACGGUACCGUAAGAAUAAGCACCGGCUAACUACGUGCCAGCCGCCGCCGUAA